UAAAUAGUCAACAUUUGUUUAUUAAUUCAAAACUCAUAUGACAUAAUGAGGUAAUGCAACCUACCCAAGUACUGUGUUAAUGUAAUAGUACAAAGUGACAAAAUAUUAAAAAAGAACAAUAACAACAUAAAACACACAAAGCAAACCUAUCAAAUGAGCAAAAAAAUAAAUACAAAAAGAGAGAGAUGCAAACUCUGAUUUAAUGUCUUCUUAUGACAGGUCUUCUCCCACGGUAUUCGCAUACCAGCAACUGAAAUCUUUACUAGCAAAAAUGUCACCUAGAGUGAACCCUCUUGGGCAGAGCACUUGUCAUUUGAAAAAAAAUGUGUACGCAAAUGCGACCGAAUAAGAAGUUAAUGAGUAUGUUAUUAGAGAUGUGUGCCCUUGAGAUCCCAGCUUCGUGACUGCAUGGCAUAGUAACUUAAAAAGACUCUGAUGAAUGGUUGCCGAUUUUUCAAGCACAUAAGGGCCUAACGUCCUAUAUACUAUAUAGGUGGUACCUGGCCCCGACAAGAUUAUCAUGUCAGCUCUUCUCCUGCUUCAUACAUGCCAGGGACCCUGCUCCAUAUUUGGUGGUCUUGCCCUCACAUUGCUCCCUAUUGGGGCAUAGUAACCCAACUGUUAAGUCACUACUCCAGUCACACAUUAACCCAGACCCCAGGUGUCUCUUCUAUCUCUAUUGCCGUACCCAUUACCAUGUAUAGACCAAAAAUUGCUUUCCCAAGUGUAUUAUAUGCAGCUUCUACUCUGCUUGCUUGGUCAUAUAAAUCUCAAACAGUGACUCGCAACCAAGCCUUAAAACAUAGAUUAAAUAGAUUUCCCUCAAUUUGACAUAUGAAAAAAAUGGAGUGGUGGUAUGAAUUUCUACAAACACAUCCACAGUAUAAUGUAUGUAUUGGUCUUGAGUUGACAUAGCCAAGGAUGAAUAAUGUUAAGAUAAGGCCAGGGACUAAUGAAAGUAUUUAGAAAAUUGGGCAGACUAGAUGGGCCGAAUGGUUCUUAUCUGCCGUCACAUUCUAUGUUUCUAUGUUAAGGCCUACAGACCACAGACCUGCUGUGGCAGUGCAGGGUAUGAGGAAGUAUGUAUGUGUAAUGAAUAGAGAUAUAUGUACAUCAUUGUUACCACUGCUUUCAUUUAACUUUUGUACCAUUUUUCCUCCUCCACUCCCAUUUUUUCUCUUCCUUAGUACCCACUGGUUAACACAGUAAUUUCUGUAAAAUGUGUAUCUAAUCAUUGUCUCAUAAUAUCUGUAACUAUCCUGAAAAACAAAACAAUAACAUUUCAAGUUUAAAAAAGGUUUAACAUUUAAAUACUUUCUUAUUAUAUUGCUUAUUUUUUUGUUAAUAUUAAUAUAUUUUAAUAUUUGAAAACAAUAUAUAUUUUAAAAGUCUAUCCAUAAAUAUGAAGUCAUUCGAAUAGUUUAUUUAAAAUUAUUACAUUAAGGCCAUAGCAAAGGCUUACUCUGCUUACUGAAUAGCAAUUUCUCAUAGACUUUGAUGGCGUAAUUGCUAUUAAGUAAACAGAAAGUAAACUCUUACUCUGCUAUUAUUAUUAUUAUUAUUAUUAUUAUUUUAUUAUUUAUAUAGCGCCAACAAAUUCCGUAGCGCUGUACAAUGGGUGGACUAACAGACACAUAAUUGAGAUCAGACCACUGACGUACAGGAACAGAGGGGGUUGAGGACCCUGCUCGAUGAGCUUACAUGCUAGAGGGAGUGGGGUAUAUUGACACAAAGGGUUAAAGUAGGGGAAUUAAAUAGUUUGUUACAGAAGGGUUUAUUGAGUGCUUGGUAGGUCAUUUUUGACAGGUGCAGGAACGGAGUCAUGGGGUGGGGGAUGAGAAACCUGCUGACAGUUUAAUUGAUACGCUUUAAUGAAGAAGUGAGUUUUCAAAGAUGCUAUGAGAAUCCAGUCCCAGGAGAUGUUUUGUGGUGCACAUUGAUUAUUAAAGGAUCACUAAAGUGACAGGAAAACAAAGCGGUUUUCCUGACACUAUAGUGCCCUGGUGGUGCCCCCACCCUCAGGGUCCCCCUCCCGUGGCACUGAAGGGGUUAAAACCCCUUCAGCAGCUUACCUUAAUCCAGCACCGGGCUCCCUCGGCACUGGUGACCUCUCCUCCCCCGCCAACGUCAGCUCCCCCGUCUGACGUCGGCGGAGACGAAUGCACAUGCCCGACAAUGCCACACGCGCAUUCAAAGUGUCCAUAGGAAAGCAUUUCUCAAUACUUUCCUAUGGACGCUCUGCGUGAUGGAGAAAGCUAGCACCUAUAGCCAGGGAACUGAGAGACUCAGGAAUAAGAUACCGCUGGGGGGUGGAGGGUUCCCUCCUAAGCGAAAUAGAGGGUGACAGUAUGAUCCUGACAUCAGAGGAUGACCCAGAGCCCUUUCUGCAAAAGAUGAGGAUGGCCUCAACACAGGGAGCCCCCCACACCAACCAAGAGAACCGGAACAACAGAGAGUCCGAAUGAGAAUGACUGCACACAGAGCAAGCCAACCAGCUUCAAAGUGAAGAGACUAAUCCCAGCACACAGAACCACAGAACCAGAACCACAACCACCACCAGGGAAGAAAAACCAAACAAAAAUGGUCACCAACAGAGACUCCUUAUGGUAAACAAACCUGACCUGCUGACCCACCAAGAUCGGCCGCUGAUCCUGAGGAAAACCACAGAGGCAAAUAUGACGUCUAUCUGGUGCCCCGCUAAGUACCAAGCAGACACCCCUAUGUGACAAUCAUAACAGAGACCCAGGUGCCAGCACACCUGUAUAACCCACAGAGACUUCCUAUAUACACCGCAAAUGGACCUACCUAAAUAUACUGCAUUACUAACAAAUGACAUCACUAACUAUACCGCAUAAGUGUAUAAAUGGCACUACUACACAUUUAGCUGCAUUCUUAAACAUAUCGCAUUACUUGAUAUAUACCAUAAAUGUAUUAUAGCGUUGCUACAUACGUUACAUAUCUACAUGGACAGCAGCACUUCACAAGUCACAGUGGUAGACAGGGGCAGACUGAGAACCCUCAGGGCCCCCGGGCAAAAUAAAUCAAGGGCCCCCUUACAGGCCCCACCCAUACUCUGCAGCAAGCGCCACCCUUGUUCCGCCUCCAGCCACACCCUACACAAUCUUUAGACACAAGGAACAAAAGGGCAAUAAGCCCUUCGAGGCCCCAGUAGAGACUACAAUUGAGGGCUAAUGGGCCAUGGAGGGGAGUCUUUCUAGCGGAGGCUAUCUCAGUGUCCUUUAGAGAGUGUGUUAGAAAGAAUCCCCUCCAAGCCCCAUUAGAGACUACAAUGGAGUCUAAAAGGCUUGGAAGGGGGUCUUUCUAACAGAGGCCAUCUCAGCGUCCAUUAGAUAUCCCCUGCUGGAAACAGUCGCCUCCAGGCCCCAGUAGAGACUACAAUUGAGGGCUAAUGGGCCAUGGAGGGGAUUUCUAGCAGAGGCUUGAGUCUAAUGGGGCCUGGAGGGUGGUCUCUCCAACACUCUGGUUCCUAUUCACAAUAUAGCAACACAACAUAGCUCGCUGAUACCUAGGCCAAGUUGGCUCCUCUUACCUUAAUUACUGUUGCUGGCUAGCAGUCUGUGGGCUGGCUGGCAGUCUGUGGGCUUGCUGGCUGCGGCUGGCAGGCUGUGGGCUUGCUGACUGCGGCUGGCAGGCUGCGGCUUGCUGCCUGCGGCUGGCAGGCUGUGGGCUUGCUGGCUGUAAGCCUGUGGCUUGCUGUAGGCCUGUGGGCUGGCUACUGGGGCACUUGUAGAUUAUUUAAAGAAAUAAUCAAUGCACAAUAACCACUACUGCUCCAGAGUAAGUAGUCAAACCGUUUAAGAAUUUACCUGGGGUCUGCUGGGAUAUGGGGCUGUAGUAAGGAAUAGGAGCAGUGGUGCAAUGUGUGUGAAAGGUUCAGUGUGUGUGUGGGGGUGUAUUGUGUGAAUGUGUAGGGUGUGUGGGCUGUGCAUGUGUGUGGCAAUGUUAGUAUGGGGGGCUGUGUGUAUAUGGGUGGGCAGUGUAUGUGUGUGUGUGAGGCAAUGUGUGUAAAUGUGAAUGGUGUGUAUGGGGGCAGUGUGUGAAUGUGCAUGGUGUGUGUGUGUGGGGGCAGUGUGUUUAUGGGGCUAGAGUUCACUCUCACCACUGCGACCACCAGGAAUCCCUGAGUUGACUCUCUCAAGAGCGGUAACGUUGCCAUGGUAACCACGGCAACGCUCUGUGCUCGCGCAAGAAGGACCCAGAGGAGCUGCAGGGUGAGCUCCCAGGUCCUCUCUUCCUCCCUCCCCUGCCCGCACGGUGCCUGCGGACAGGGGAGGGGGGACAAUUGCCCCGUUGCCCCCCUGGAUCCACCAGUGAUAUAUACAGGCCUUCUGUGUGCCUUUUGUCUCCCCCAGUCCCUCUGUAUGUUUCUUUCUCCCCCCUCCUUCCCAGUC